UACGAAGGGGGCGAGCGUUGUUCGGAUUUACUGGGCGUAAAGCGCACGUAGGCGGUCUGCUAAGUUUGGAGUGACAGUUGGUGGCUUAACUGCCAAAGUGCUUCGAAAACUGACAGACUUGAGGGCUUCAGAGGGACACGGAAUUCCGGGUGGAGUGGUGAAAUGCGUAGAGAUCCGGAGGAACACCAAAGGCGAAGGCAGUGUCCUGGGGAGUACCUGACGCUCAGGUGCGAAAGCCAGGGGAGCGAACGGG
rnacentral:rRNA from 1 species